UCCUUUUAAUUAUCAAACUUUUAUGUAUAGAGAUGUAUGUAAAGAUGUUUGGAUAUAAAAUUGAGAAAAGUAGGUAUUAUUUAUAAUACUACUUUCUUAAAAACCAGAAAUAUUAUGUUUUGAUUUUUCUUCAAUCUCAUUUUGUAUAUUAUUUAACAAAUGAGUACGAGUAAAAAUAACAAUACUUU
rnacentral:misc_RNA from 3 species